UCAGGUGGGUGUGGAAAUAGGUCACAUUCACUGGUGGAGUGGGGGAGAGGUUUUCAUGGACUUCAGCCCACCUUAAAUUCUCUUAGAAAACUUAAAUUCUUGAUUUGUUACAGGGAAAAUAUCAACAUUUUAAUCAAGUACGCCAGCUUGUUAGCAAGUGCACUUAAUAUUUGGAGUAUUGUUAUGGACACGGCAAAGUUACCUCAAGAGAGUUGGUCAGAGAGCUCUUCAGCAGCAGGAGAAAUCUAAAGAGAUGUUUCCAGUCAAGUUAUUGCCCAGCAACAGUGUGCGUGUGACAAGAACUAUUGCUGGUACGCUAACAUUUACUGAACUAAGUUCACAAGGCACCUGUGUCGGUGACGUGCUCUUUUUUUUAACCCUUAGUUGUUGACCUGACAGCAUACGUGAGGGCCUUGGAUAGACAUCAAACAAAGCAACUAUGUAGGGUGCAACUCUGGAAUAUUUAUCGAUCAAAUGCUACAUAGCUUCUGCACACUUACACUACACAGGUAUCAAAUAGGGGUCCAUGCCUAUGUUCCCACAGCCUUAUGUUCCCAUGGUCCUAUAAUCCCACAUUUGAGUUUUAUUACAUGGUGCAUGUUCUGCUGCGACGACACCUCCAUGAAAAUACGUAUAAAAAGAUGUCUAUGGGUGUGACGUCAUGUGUACAAAAUGGUUAAUGUACGGAGGUGGAAACAAUUAUCCUUGUAAAGGAUGAUAAAAUCUAAAAUAUAAUCUAAAAAAGGAAAUGUGGGAACAUGGGGCCUAAUUUUGUAAACAAAUCUCAGAAUGUGGGAACAUAAGGCCGUGGGAACAUAGGAAUGACCCCCAAAUGGGAAGGCAAUUAGAGCAUAAACCAGAACAAGGGUAUAUCAUAAGAGCAGGUUCAGUAUUUGUUCCCAGGAUACCAGGUUUCUCUUACCAAACACCCAUAAUCCCAUUUUUGUAUGUGACGGUGAAAGUGUUAUCUUCUAUAUGUCGAGUGUGAGGAAGCAAAUCUAACAAGAAUAAACUAUUCAGUUGUAAGUAACUAAGGUAAAUAUAAAGAGAUUUCAGCUAAAAUAGUUCCUAAACCUGUUCCUUGUCUUUAUCAUUACAGUUCAGCUAAGGUUCUUUACCUUUAAUGCCCUUUGGUUCUUUUUUAGUGAGGUGCAAAUGAAAAACGUCAAUUGUUGACUCUGUCAGAAGGUGUUUUUGUGUGAUAUCUGGGCUGCCUAGUGAGGAUCUCUGUCAUGUGCUUAAAUAUUCAUGAGAUCACUUCAUCAUUAACGAGAUGCUUUGAUGGAAAGUUCCACACUGGAGUCACAGAUAUUUGGCAUGAGUCAGAAAACAGACAGAUGAGGACACAAUGGACAGUAGAUUGAGAGAGUUUAAGUGAUACAGUAAAAUAAGAAGAGCUUAUUUCUGUUCAGGUUAGAGCACUCUUUAUCUCCUCAACAUGCUUCAUGUGUGUGUUUGUUUGUCUCCGUCUAUUAUUAACUGUGUGUGGUGAUAAAAUCCCACUCAUAGUGUUCAUGCUCACAGUUAAAAAAGGAUCCAGAAAGCAGAGUUUUGUGACCUACUUCUUAAAACCUGUUCUGAUUUAUUUUUCAUUAAAGAAACCACGAUACUUGUCUCAAUCAAAUUUCCAGUUUCUGAGUUUUGGAUCUAAUUUGAAUCUUUUAUUUGGCUAAAAGUUAGCACGCAACCCAUGAGUGGAAUAUGCAGCACAACAGAUUCGGUUGCUUUGACUGUCCAGAUGAGCAAACACAGAGGAGCAGAGCUAGAAUGAAAUUUAAUUGUCUGUCAUUUGAUGUUGAGUCUGUUAUUUUUCCUGGCCCAGGGAAAUAAGAGGAAGGCCAAAUGUCUUCUUGAAAAUGAGAUAAUGGUUUCAGUGACAAGCACAAAAUGUGUUAGCCUUAAAAAUAGGUUAUGUCCCUCCACAUCCUGACCACUAAGUUAUCCUGAAGCUAAGUCCAUAAAAGACAAAUAGAGCGCCGAAUCAUCUGAGACAAGUUAGUCAGGCUGUGGUUGUACUUAGAAUUAAUGAUUGAACAGUGAGAGUACCUGUGUACGCAGGGUGUUCUGGGGAUAGAGAGCAUGACUUUCAGAUUAAUCAAUCAGGAUAAAAUGAAAAAAAUAAAAAAAGUUAAAAGAAACAAAAACAAGCUGAGACACAGAGUCCUAACUGUACAGAACAGUUUCAACCUGAAGCACUGACCCGACACAUGAACAUGUCUGUGGUGGUUAAACUAUAGACUUGACAAACAAAUGAGGACAAAACUGUUUCUCAUCAGAGUCAGUCAUAGGUUAUGUAAGAGUGGUGUUAUGGAGGUUCAAUUCUCAAGUAUUCAUGUCUAACCUUUUAACCUAAAGCUCAGUUAUGGUGACAUAACACUCAGUAUUCUUAGGCUAUGUUCACACUGCAGGUCAAUUAUGAUUUUUUUAACCAUAUGUGACACAUAUCAGAUUUUUUCAUGUAAGUGUGAACAGUGCAAUUCAGAUUUUUUCAAAUGCGACCCAGGCCUCUUUUGUAUACGGAUAUAAAUUGGAUAUGUAUGCGAUGUGACUGCAGUGUGGACGCUCAGGUCAUGUUCAUCCGACCUAUACGUCAUCAAUUUGCGACAAACGUCACCAUUGUUCGACAACACAAACAGGCGCGGAAAGCAAUUUGUGCUUUGUGCGCAUGCGGGUCACUUCACGGACGCAUUCUGUUCACAUUAGAUGCUGCAUUCUGAAUUGAAUUGUGCAUCAUAAUCUGCAGUAUGAACAUAGACCUUCAAGAGUGAAGAGCCCAAACAGAUGCCCACCAGUAUAAAGUCUACGAAGAUGGCGGCCCAAAAAGGCUAUCAUCAGUUUGCCCACAAGUAUCACUGAUUUAUACGCAUAAUUCACCGAAACAAGGUCACUGUGAUAAUGGAAGAGGACAUUUCAGGCAGCCUGAUUCCUUCACAGCAAAAUAGGAAAUGUUGUGGAAACUCAUAGUCACAGAAAAUGUUUUCUCUGUUAGAAAUUAGACCCGCAUAAACAGACAGACAUUAGUUUCUCUUUCUUACUGGAUGUUAGACAGAGCAACAUAUCUCAGAGACAACUUUUUCAUCUUGGAUGAAGCAGGAAAAACCCCUGAAACGCUUAAAAAUAAAAAGCCUUGAUCAGCCCAAACUGGCUGUUAAAUAAAGAAAUAUCAAAAACAUGCAGAUCUUAUUAAAAGCAAAGAUACAACCCAUUUAUCGUGGCACAACAGUUGUCUUCAGGACACUGGAAAAACCCUGAAGACAGAUUUUUUUCUCUUUGGAAAAAUAGUUUAAAAAAUACAGUCUGCAGGAUCCUGAUGGUUUACGGUCUAACUGCCUCAAAUGCGGCAACCCAAGUCCAAUUUCAACCUG